rnacentral:rRNA from 1 species
AGAGUUUGAUCCUGGCUCAGAUUGAACGCUGGCGGCAUGCUUUACACAUGCAAGUCGAACGGGGUUAAGGGGCUUGCUCCUUAAUCUAGUGGCGAACGGGUGAGUAAUGCAUCGGAACGUACCCGGGAGUGGGGGAUAACGCACCGAAAGGUGUGCUAAUACCGCAUAUUCUGUGAGCAGGAAAGCAGGGGACCUUAGGGCCUUGUGCUUCCGGAGCGGCCGAUGUCGGAUUAGCUAGUUGGUGAGGUAAAGGCUCACCAAGGCGACGAUCCGUAGCGGGUCUGAGAGGAUGAUCCGCCACACUGGGACUGAGACACGGCCCAGACUCCUACGGGAGGCAGCAGUGGGGAAUUUUGGACAAUGGGCGCAA